UUCUUCGGAAUGACUGGGCGUAAAGGGCACGUAGGCGGUUAAUCGGGUUUAAAGUGAAAGUCGCCAAAAAGUGGCGGAAUGCUCUCGAAACCAAUUCACUUGAGUGAGACAGAGGAGAGUGGAAUUUCGUGUGUAGGGGUGAAAUCCGUAAAUAUACGAAGGAACGCCAAAAGCGAAGGCAGCUCUCUGGGUCCCUACCGACGCUGGGGUGCGAAAGCAUGGGGAGCGAACAGG
rnacentral:rRNA from 1 species